GGGUCAGUAGGCUGGUCGUGCCACCGGUACGUACUGGUCUCACUGAUUCCUCCUCCCUGAAGAACCGUAAUGCCAUUAGUUUCGUGUUGCGGGGAAACAGGACUGUUACUUUGAAAAAAUUAGAGUGUUUAAAGCAAGCUAACGCUUGAAUACAUUAGCAUGGAAUAAUGAAAUAGGACGAUCGAUCCUAUUUUGUUGGUUUCUAGGAUUGACGUA
rnacentral:rRNA from 1 species